UACGUAGGGGGCUAGCGUUGUCCGGAAUCAUUGGGCGUAAAGCGCGUGUAGGCGGUCCGGCAAGUCCGCUGUGAAAGUCGGGGGCUCAACCCUCGAAUGCCGGUGGAUACUGUCGGGCUAGAGUGCGGAAGAGGCGAGUGGAAUUCCUGGUGUAGCGGUGAAAUGCGCAGAUAUCAGGAGGAACACCUAUUGCGAAGGCAGCUCGCUGGGACGUAACUGACGCUGAGGAGCGAAAGCGUGGGGAGCGAACAGG
rnacentral:rRNA from 1 species